GAGAUAGUAAGAGAAGGUUAGGGUUUUAGAGGUUACUAUUUUCAUUUGGGGGAAAAGAUAGGAAGAAGAGAAAAGAGGCAAAAGGGAAGAGAACAAUGGUGGAAGAGAAAAGCUAGAAGAAACCUCAUUUUCGCAGCAAGUUUCAGCAUUGAGUCACCUUAGCAAAACGGAUGUAUCUCUCAAUCCAACCGUUGGAUCGCCGCGUGGUUUUGACACAACGUUCCUGACUCAUAGAGGUGUGUCUCCAAAUUAUGUUUGAAGGAUUUAUUUUGGAGAAAAGCUUAGAGCUAUGGUGAAAGAUUUCAUAUUUGCCAAGGUACUCAAGUAUAGCCGUGGAAGUUUGUAGAUUCACCGUGUCUGGUUGGUGUGUCGCUCUGAUACGUAGCACUCGGGGGUUGUCUAUAUUGUUGUUUCUAUGUUGUUCAUGUUUUAGUUGUUGAGUUCCAAAUUGGAUAAUGAGAAGUACUAUGAUG